CCUACGGGUGGCAGCAGUGAGGAAUAUUGGUCAAUGGACGAGAGUCUGAACCAGCCAAGUCGCGUGAAGGAUGACUGCCCUAUGGGUUGUAAACUUCUUUUAUCUGGGAAUAAAACGUUCCACGUGUGGGAUUUUGUAUGUACCAUAUAAAUAAGGAUCGGCUAACUCCGUGCCAGCAGCCGCGGUAAUACGGAGGAUCCGAGCGUUAUCCGUAUUUAUUGGGUUUAAAGGGUGCGUAGGUGGAUUGUUAAGUCAGUUGUGAAAGUUUGCGGCUCAACCGUAAAAUUGCAGUUGAAACUGGCAGUCUUGAGUACAGUAGAGGUGGGCGGAAUGCGUGGUGUAGCGGUGAAAUGCUUAGAUAUCACGAAGAACUCCGAUUGCGAAGGCAGUUCACUGGACUGCAACUGACACUGAGGCUCGAAAGUGUGGGUAUCAAACAGGAUUAGAUACCCGGGUAGUC
rnacentral:rRNA from 1 species